rnacentral:misc_RNA from 1 species
CAACCCUCAAGCAUUGCUUGGUAUUAGGCUCCGCUGCUCACCCAGCGGGCCUUAAAAUCAGUGGCGGUGCCGUCGGGCCCUGAGCGUAGUAAAUCUCCUCGCUAUAGGGACCCGGUGGACGCUGGCCAUCAACCCCCCUUACUUUCUAAGU